CCCUAGCCCGGAUGGAAGCGGCAUCCUUUUGUGCAAUGCAAUGGAACAAAAGAUACAGCGGACAGGCGGAACAGCU
rnacentral:sRNA from 1 species